GCGACUCCCCCGGGGCGGGGGUGGCGUGUGGUCUCUAGACAACUGAGGGAAAGUAGACAGACCGUGCUCACCGAUUUAAAAGAACAGCCCUGAAAUGACCCCCGUUACACCCUGUUCUCUUUUUUAGACAAGUUACUUCCACCUGGAGCGGUUUCUGGGCCCGGGUAUGGGGAUUUCUUCACCCGGCCCCCUAGGCUUUCACCUCGGUGGAAUUUCCCGCGCCCCCGCUGGGAUGAUUUAGGGACUGUUGGCUAGAACUGCCCUUGCCUACCGCCCUACUGCGGGCGCUCCCCUGUCUGGGGGGUGCUUGGCUGGGUGUGGAGAAGGAUCAAUCACAGCUGACUCCUCAGAGGUGACAGCCCCUGCCCCCUUAAAAACAAGAAAAGACCUAGCAGUGUGAAGCCAAACUGCACCCCCAGCCCCGGUGACAUGAGGAAACCGUGAGGCGCUCAGCCUGAGGUUCAUCGUUCAUCUCCUUCCUGCUUGGAAUCAGAAUGUCCUCACUGCUGAGUUUCUCCGUUUUAUGGGAUUACAUUAGUGGACAAAGGAGUGAAGCAAAGCAGCACUGAGCUCCUCCAAGUAAAGAAAGAAUUGUUUUCUGUACAACCUGGAGCUGAAUCAUAGAAGGAGAAGACAGCUUGAAAGAUAAGAGGCCGUAAGGCAGACCACAGAGGACGGGGAGGAUUUCCCCAGCACCCCAGCCCCCAUAGUCAGCUCUGGUUCAGCGAUUUCAGCAACUCUUUCAUGACCCAUCUGAUUUUGUUUUAUCCCAGCCCUGCAGAGAAAGGACUCUGCAGGUCAGGACUUGCUUCUUCAAC
rnacentral:antisense_RNA from 1 species